rnacentral:rRNA from 1 species
UAGGGAAUCUUCCACAAUGGACGCAAGUCGGAUGGAGCAACGCCGCGUGAGUGAAGAAGGUUUUCGGAUCGUAAAGCCCUGUUGUUGGGGAAGAAGGAUAGAGGCAGUAACUGGUCUUUAUUUGACGGUAAUCAACCAGAAAGUCACGGCUAACUACGUGCCAGCAGCCGCGGUAAUACGUAGGUGGCAAGCGUUGUCCGGAUUUAUUGGGCGUAAAGCGAGCGCAGGCGGAAUGAUAAGUCUGAUGUGAAAGCCCACGGCUCAACCGUGGAACUGCAUCGGAAACUGUCAUUCUUGAGUGCAGAAGAGGAGAGUGGAAUUCCAGGUGUAGCGGUGGAAUGCGUAGAUAUAUGGAAGAACACCAAUGGCGAAGGCGGCUCUCUGGUCUGCAACUGACGCUGAGGCUCGAAAGCAUGGGUAGCGAACAGG